UACAGGGGGGGCAAGCGUUGUUCGGAAUUACUGGGCGUAAAGGGUCUGUAGGUGGCCAACUAAGUCGGACGUGAAAUCCCUCAGCUUAACUGGGGAACUGCGUCUGAUACUGGAUGGCUCGAGUGUGGGAGAGGAAUGCGGAAUUCCAGGUGUAGCGGUGAAAUGCGUAGAUAUCAGGAGGAACACCGGUGGCGAAGGCGGGUCUCUGGGCCGAUACUGACGCUGAGGAGCGAAAGCGUGGGGAGCGAACAGG
rnacentral:rRNA from 1 species